rnacentral:rRNA from 1 species
GGCAUUCUCCUCCGAUCUAUCUUAGACUGUAACUUGUUAUAGAUACAGGAUCUGACGAAGACAGCAGCAACAUGGAUCAAAAUGCGGUUUUGUCGAAACGAGGGAAUAAUCCAGAUCUUGGGCGGCAAUCUCGCAAUCGAUCAGCUGGUCCUUCGCGUCUUUUGAAUCCCAGGAACCCAUCAUCUCCUGUAUCAUUCACGCCAAUGGCAUCGUCGUCAUCAUCACAAC